rnacentral:rRNA from 1 species
GGGUAACGAAGCGAACGUGGCGAACUGAAACAUCUAAGUAGCUACAGGAAAAGAAAUCAACCGAGAUUCCCAAAGUAGUGGCGAGCGAAAUGGGAUCAGCCUGCAAGAUUUAGCAUCAACGAUAGCAAAACGGAAUGGAAAGUCCGGCCAUAGUGGGUGAUAGCCCCGUAUGCGAAAUCGAUGGUGUGGAACUAGGCUUGCGACAAGUAGGGCGGGACACGUGAAAUCCUGUCUGAACAUGGGGGGACCAUCCUCCAAGGCUAAAUACUCGUAAUCGACCGAUAGUGAACCAGUACCGUGAGGGAAAGGCGAAAAGAACCCCGGAAGGGGAGUGAAAUAGAUCCUGAAACCGUGUGCAUACAAACAGUAGGAGCCCUGUAAGGGGUGACUGCGUACCUUUUGUAUAAUGGGUCAGCGACUUACAUUCAGUGGCAAGCUUAACCGAAUAGGGAAGGCGCAGAGAAAUCGAGUCCGAAUAGGGCGUUCAGUCGCUGGGUGUAGACCCGAAACCAAGUGAUCUAUCCAUGGCCAGGUUGAAGGUGCGGUAACACGCACUGGAGGACCGAGCCCACUAAUGUUGAAAAAUUAGGGGAUGAGCUGUGGAUAGGGGUGAAAGGCUAAACAAACUUGGAAAUAGCUGGUUCUCUCCGAAAACUAUUUAGGUAGUGCCUCAAGUAUCACCAUCGGGGGUAGAGCACUGUUAUGGCUAGGGGGUCAUCGCGACUUACCAAACCAUUGCAAACUCCGAAUACCGAUGAGUGCGAGCUUGGGAGACAGACGCCGGGUGCUAACGUCCGACGUCAAGAGGGAAACAACCCAGACCGCCAGCUAAGGUCCCAAAGAUUGGCUAAGUGGAAAACGAAGUGGGAAGGCUAAAACAGUCAGGAGGUUGGCUUAGAAGCAGCCAUCCUUUAAAGAAAGCGUAAUAGCUCACUGAUCGAGUCGUCCUGCGCGGAGAUGUAACGGGGCUAAGCCAGUCACCGAAGCUGCGGAUAUCCGUAAGGAUAUGGUAGGAGAGCGUUCUGUAAGCCUGUGAAGGUGUCUUGUAAAGGAUGCUGGAGGUAUCAGAAGUGCGAAUGCUGACAUGAGUAGCGAUAAUGCGGGUGAAAAGCCCGCACGCCGUAAGCCCAAGGUUUCCUGUUCAACGUUCAUCGGAGCAGGGUGAGUCGGCCCCUAAGGCGAGGCAGAGAUGCGUAGCUGAUGGGAAGCAGGUUAAUAUUCCUGCACCGUCGUUAGAUGCGAUGGGGGGACGGAUCGCGGAAGGUUGUCCGACUGUUGGAAUAGUCGGUUUUUGCAUCGAAGAAGGCUGUUAGGCAAAUCCGGCAGCGUAAUUCAAGGGUGUGAGACGAGCGAACUUGUUCGCGAAGCAAUCGGAAGUGGUUCCAAGAAAAGCCUCUAAGCUUCAGUCUAACGAGACCGUACCGCAAACCGACACAGGUGGGCGAGAUGAGUAUUCUAAGGCGCUUGAGAGAACUCGGGAGAAGGAACUCGGCAAAUUGGUACCGUAACUUCGGGAUAAGGUACGCCCAAGUAGUUUGACUGGCCUGCGCCAGGAGGACAAAAGGGUUGCAAUAAAAUGGUGGCUGCGACUGUUUAAUAAAAACACAGCACUCUGCAAACACGAAAGUGGACGUAUAGGGUGUGACGCCUGCCCGGUGCUGGAAGAUUAAAUGAUGGGGUGCAAGCUCUUGAUUGAAGUCCCAGUAAACGGCGGCCGUAACUAUAACGGUCCUAAGGUAGCGAAAUUCCUUGUCGGGUAAGUUCCGACCUGCACGAAUGGCGUAACGAUGGCCACACUGUCUCCUCCCGAGACUCAGCGAAGUUGAAAUGUUUGUGAUGAUGCAAUCUACCCGCGGCUAGACGGAAAGACCCCAUGAACCUUUACUGUAGCUUUGCAUUGGACUUUGAACCAAUCUGUGUAGGAUAGGUGGGAGGCUUUGAAGUAGGGACGCUAGUCUCUAUGGAGCCAACCUUGAAAUACCACCCUGGUUUGUUUGAGGUUCUAACCUUGGUCCGUUAUCCGGAUCGGGGACAGUGCAUGGUAGGCAGUUUGACUGGGGCGGUCUCCUCCCAAAGUGUAACGGAGGAGUUCGAAGGUACGCUAGGUACGGUCGGACAUCGUGCUAAUAGUGCAAUGGCAUAAGCGUGCUUAACUGCGAGACUGACAAGUCGAGCAGGUACGAAAGUAGGACAUAGUGAUCCGGUGGUUCUGUAUGGAAGGGCCAUCGCUCAACGGAUAAAAGGUACUCUGGGGAUAACAGGCUGAUUCCUCCCAAGAGUUCAUAUCGACGGGGGAGUUUGGCACCUCGAUGUCGGCUCAUCACAUCCUGGGGCUGUAGCCGGUCCCAAGGGUAUGGCUGUUCGCCAUUUAAAGUGGUACGUGAGCUGGGUUUAAAAC